GGGAGACAGAAGUGCCCUCUAGUGGCUGUCUACCAGACAGCCACUAGAUGUGGAGUUAACCCUGCAAGGUAAUUAUUGCAGUUUGUAAAAAAACUGCAAUAAUUACACUUGCAGGGUUAAGAGUAGGGGGAGUUGGCAUUCAGACUACUCCAAUGAGCAGAAAUUGUCUGGGUGCCUACAGUGUCCCUUUAAGUUUUAAAGAAAACUAGAUCAGAAAUGAAGAAAAAGAUUCUGAAAGAUGAAACAAUAGGAGCAUGGUUCAGUGUGACAGUGCAGCUUUAAAAUCUUGUUUGCUGAUAAACAUUUUAGAGAUUAUUUAAGACCCAUGAAUUGCUAAGGAUUGAUAUUUUGUCCCAGCAUGUGCUUUGUAUUGAUGUACUGAACCUCCCAAGAGACUUCCACUCAUCUCAUACUUAUCACUUUCACACUUAAAGGGACACGUCUCCUAAAGCAUGCUUUUGUUGUGUGUAUGAAAUUAAAAUAGCUUGCAUAAACUGCAGAGAAUAGUUAUCUUCAGCCUCUGCAAUCCCUCCAUUUGUCCCUGCCACAGACUCAAGUACUCUAAUCAGAGGCCUCUCAAUGAGUUUUAGUACAUCUUCUUUAGAAGGGGGUAGGGCAGGGCCUCAGUUAACUUUGUGAAGCUAGCAGAAGAAAACCAUUCUGGCUGGGUGUCUGAAAUUGUCACUUUUAUAAACAGUCUCAAAUAUAAGAGACUCCAGACACAAAGUAUCUGAAGUGCUCUGUGUUUAGAGCAUGACUUGUUUUGAGUUAAUCUUUCCCUGAAAAUAAGACCAGGUCUAAGGUUUUUGUACUAAAAAGCAGGUUUAUUUUUGCGGGGAAUUCCCCUGAACACCGACCAGUUCACUAGGGCACAAAAUCCCCCAAAAAUAAAAAUCUAUGUUUGGGGAAACUUUCCUUCAACAUUGAUAAUCUUACUUGUGUAUGGAAUCCCAUGAAUAUGUCCGGGAAAAAUUGCCCAAACAGAUUAGCAAACUAGCAACCAGGUCUUAUAUUAUGCACAUCCCCCCAAAUAAGAGAGCUUCUAUUCAGGGGAUGUCUUUUUUGGGGAAACCCUACUUUUAUAAACUUCCCUUAUUAACAGCAUGGUUUCUGGCCUCACUUGCUUUGGAAGGAGUUAUUCUCAAAAGAAUUGGAUACAACUUAUAAGUAAAUACACCACCACAGGAGGAGGCAGAAAGCUACAGUAAGGAGAAUCUACCAAAUGCUGAACAAAAGUGAGUAUUUUAACCCAUUUAGUGCCACAAAUCAGAUUAUAGUAAUUUAUAGUUUAAAGGACAACUAUAGUGCCCCCACCCUCAGGGUCCCCGUCCCGCCGGGCUCUGGGGAGAAAGGGUUAAAAUCUUACCUUUCUCCAGCGCCGGGCAGGGAGCUCUCCUCCUUCAUAGCGAUGUCAUCGGCUGAAUGC